rnacentral:lncRNA from 1 species
UAGAGGUUCCAAACAACCCGGUCGAGGUGAGUCUUCCCAGGGAGGCAAAGGAAAACAAGUAAAACUCACUCCCCAACCUAGAUAGAACACAAGGAAAGCGACCAAGGUUGUUGAUACAUUUAGUGACCAAUCAGGGAGUGAGUACAUGCCUUCUCAAGACCUCUCCUCCGACUUAGUGGUACCUUACUCAGUUUUAGCUUCACCCACUGCCCAAGCUCCGCAACGUUUAUCUUCUGAGUCAUCUGAGGGCUCAGUAGCCGGCAGCGGUGAGUACUCCAUCUCCCCCAAAACUUCAUUAUUCGAGGAGAGUGCAGGCGGAGGUGCUGAGCAUGAUAAUGAUAGUGAUGAGGAGAAACCUCAAAGUGGUAUGCCUCAGGUUGAGGGUGUUGACCAAACCAGAAACCCAACAGUCUGGGAAGACAAAUUUGUGAGCCAGAUGACUUUUCAUAAAUUCAAGGUAACGUGGUCAAUAUGACAGCUGAUUCUGGAAAGAAGUUUUAUUGACUGAGACUUGUUACCCCUAAACCCAAAUGUACAUAGAAAGUUUCGAGCUCGAGUGGGUUUGGAACAUUUUAGGGAUGACUGUAUAAAGGCGAAUGAGCACAUGGUCAAGGAGUUCUACAAUAAUGUGGCCCAUAUCGCGAAGAGCACAAUAUUGACCAAAGUGCGGAAUAAGAAUGUGGUGUUUACGGUGAAGGCAUUAAAUCAGUACUUGGGGUUCAAUGAUGAAAAUGAGACCUUGUACAAUGAGAAGUUGGCAAUGGGCGAUGAGGUUCGUCUGUGGUUAGCUUCGUACCUGGCGAUCCCUAGACUUUUUCCAGAGUUGUUACAAGCAAGGGCCAAAAUACUUCAGAGGACUCUCAAUUUUGAGGCUAGGGGUGGUUGACGUUCGUGUGCAGUAGGCUUGACCCCACUACCCAUGAUCAAACUAUUCCUCUUGCUGGGGCUGUUCUUAUCGGCUCUAUUAUGGCGGGCUACCCUAUCAACAUGGGCAAUGUGAUGGCUCGUGUGAUUUCUGCAGUGAGGGUCAAGCAUGACCGGAACUACCCUUUCCCAACACCCUCACCAUGUACUUCCGGGAUCUGAAGGUCGAGAAGAAGCCCUUUGAUUUCAAGGUAAAGUCGGUGGUCGUAUUCUCUUGGUACAGUUUAAAGGGGCCAGACAACCCCAACGAUAAAAAUUACAAGCCACCUACCUCUACCCAAACUGGCCAGUCUGAGCUGGUUGCGGUUGAGCCUUCCAUUGAGCAUUUUCCACUACCACUGACAUGCCUCCCGGACCUUCUACUACUAUUGGUCCCUCUACUUCAGCUGGCCUGGGGAUUCCAUCUUCCCAGGCCCAUCCUAUC